GAUGAACGCUGGCGGCGUGCCUAAUACAUGCAAGUCGAGCGAACGGACGAGAAGCUUGCUUCUCUGAUGUUAGCGGCGGACGGGUGAGUAACACGUGGAUAACCUACCUAUAAGACUGGGAUAACUUCGGGAAACCGGAGCUAAUACCGGAUAAUAUUUUGAACCGCAUGGUUCAAAAGUGAAAGACGGUCUUGCUGUCACUUAUAGAUGGAUCCGCGCUGCAUUAGCUAGUUGGUAAGGUAACGGCUUACCAAGGCAACGAUGCAUAGCCGACCUGAGAGGGUGAUCGGCCACACUGGAACUGAGACACGGUCCAGACUCCUACGGGAGGCAGCAGUAGGGAAUCUUCCGCAAUGGGCGAAAGCCUGACGGAGCAACGCCGCGUGAGUGAUGAAGGUCUUCGGAUCGUAAAACUCUGUUAUUAGGGAAGAACAUAUGUGUAAGUAACUGUGCACAUCUUGACGGUACCUAAUCAGAAAGCCACGGCUAACUACGUGCCAGCAGCCGCGGUAAUACGUAGGUGGCAAGCGUUAUCCGGAAUUAUUGGGCGUAAAGCGCGCGUAGGCGGUUUUUUAAGUCUGAUGUGAAAGCCCACAGCUCAACCGUGGAGGGUCAUUGGAAACUGGAAAACUUGAGUGCAGAAGAGGAAAGUGGAAUUCCAUGUGUAGCGGUGAAAUGCGCAGAGAUAUGGAGGAACACCAGUGGCGAAGGCGACUUUCUGGUCUGUAACUGACGCUGAUGUGCGAAAGCGUGGGGAUCAAACAGGAUUAGAUACCCUGGUAGUCCACGCCGUAAACGAUGAGUGCUAAGUGUUAGGGGGUUUCCGCCCCUUAGUGCUGCAGCUAACGCAUUAAGCACUCCGCCUGGGGAGUACGACCGCAAGGUUGAAACUCAAAGGAAUUGACGGGGACCCGCACAAGCGGUGGAGCAUGUGGUUUAAUUCGAAGCAACGCGAAGAACCUUACCAAAUCUUGACAUCCUUUGACAACUCUAGAGAUAGAGCCUUCCCCUUCGGGGGACAAAGUGACAGGUGGUGCAUGGUUGUCGUCAGCUCGUGUCGUGAGAUGUUGGGUUAAGUCCCGCAACGAGCGCAACCCUUAAGCUUAGUUGCCAUCAUUAAGUUGGGCACUCUAAGUUGACUGCCGGUGACAAACCGGAGGAAGGUGGGGAUGACGUCAAAUCAUCAUGCCCCUUAUGAUUUGGGCUACACACGUGCUACAAUGGACAAUACAAAGGGCAGCGAAACCGCGAGGUCAAGCAAAUCCCAUAAAGUUGUUCUCAGUUCGGAUUGUAGUCUGCAACUCGACUACAUGAAGCUGGAAUCGCUAGUAAUCGUAGAUCAGCAUGCUACGGUGAAUACGUUCCCGGGUCU
rnacentral:rRNA from 1 species